GGGGAAUUUUGGACAAUGGGGGCAACCCUGAUCCAGCCAUGCCGCGUGCGGGAAGAAGGCCUUCGGGUUGUAAACCGCUUUUGUCAGGGAAGAAACGCUCUGGGCUAAUACCCCGGGGUAAUGACGGUACCUGAAGAAUAAGCACCGGCUAACUACGUGCCAGCAGCCGCGGUAAUACGUAGGGUGCAAGCGUUAAUCGGAAUUACUGGGCGUAAAGCGUGCGCAGGCGGUUGUGCAAGACAGAUGUGAAAUCCCCGGGCUUAACCUGGGAACCGCAUUUGUGACUGUACGGCUGGAGUGCGGCAGAGGGGGAUGGAAUUCCGCGUGUAGCAGUGAAAUGCGUAGAUAUCGGGAGGAAUACCGAUGGCGAAGGCAGGUCUCUGGGCUGACACUGACGCUCAUGCACGAAAGCGUGGGGAGCAAA
rnacentral:rRNA from 1 species